GCCCGCGUGGCCCAAUGGACAAGGCAGUGCCCUCCUAGUCACGUGAUCGUCACGUGAUCAGCGGAAAGGCGAAGAUUGCGGGUUCGAGUCCCGCCGUGGGUU